rnacentral:rRNA from 1 species
GACGAACGCUGGCGGCGUGCUUAACACAUGCAAGUCGAACGGAAAGGCCCUGCUUUUGUGGGGUUCUCGAGUGGCGAACGGGUGAGUAACACGUGAGUAACCUGCCCUUGACUUUGGGAUAACUUCAGGAAACUGGGGCUAAUACCGGAUAGGAGCUCCUGCUGCAUGGUGGGGGUUGGAAAGUUUCGGCGGUUGGGGAUGGACUCGCGGCUUAUCAGCUUGUUGGUGGGGUAGUGGCUUACCAAGGCUUUGACGGGUAGCCGGCCUGAGAGGGUGACCGGCCACAUUGGGACUGAGAUACGGACCAGACACCUACGGGAGGCAGCAGUGGGGAAUAUUGCACAAUGGGCGGAAGCCUGAUGCAGCAACGCCGCGUGCGGGAUGACGGCCUUCGGGUUGUAAACCGCUUUCGCCUGUGACGAAGCGUGAGUGACGGUAAUGAGUAAAGAAGCACCGGCUAACUACGUG